GACCGCAGCGCCGGCGAGCGGGCUGCUGGCAGUCAUGGUGGCGCUGCCGGGCCUCGGGAGCGGCCUGCAGCCCUGGUGCCCGCUGGAUCUCAGCCCAGAAUGGGUAGACACAGUUUGGGAACUGGACUUCACAGAGACUGAACCUUUGGAUCCCAACAUAGAAGCAGAAAUUAUAGAGUCUGGAUUGGAUGCAUUCACAAAACUCCAUGAAAGUCUUUUCUGCUUUGCUACUGAAGAACGUGGAUCUACAGAGAUCAUUUGGACCUUCUUCAUUGAGAACAAUAUUUCUCACCGAGCGCUGGUGGCUUUAUUCUAUCACUUUGUUCAGACAGUCCAUAAGAAAAAUGUCAGUGCGCAAUAUCGAGAAUAUGGCCUUCAUGCUGCUGGUCUUUAUUUUCUGCUACUAGAAGUACCAGGCAGUGUAGCCAAUCAAAUAUUCCACCCGGUGAUGUUUGACAAAUGUAUACAAAUUCUAAAGAAGAGCUGGCCUCAGGAAUCUAACUUGAGUCGGAAAAGAAAGAAAGAACAGCCUAAGAGCUCUCAGGCUAAUCCAAGAGGGCACAGAAAGAGAGGAAAGCCACCCAGGAAAGAGGAUAUUGAGAUGGAUGAAAUUAUAGAAGAACAAGAAGAUGAGGAGGACAUUUGCUUUUCUCCCUGGGACCUUUGUCAAAUACGAAAAGCCAUCUUUCAUCUUUUAAGUAACUUUUUAAGGCUUUUGUCCAAGUUUUCCCUGAAAGAAAAGCCACAGUGUGUACAGAAUUGUAUAGAGGUCUUUGUGGCAUUAACAAGUUUCGAGCCAGUUCUUCAUGAAUUUCAUGUUACACAUGCCAGAAACCUUAACCAAGCAAAGUGCAUACCAGAACUGGCCUAUCAUGGAUUGUAUUUGCUAUGCUCCCCAAUUCAUGGAGGAGACAAGGUUAUCAGUUAUAUUUUCCAUCAAAUGCUAAAUGUAAUAUUAAUGUUAGAAGUGGGCGAAGGAUCCCAUCAUGCCCCCGUUGCUAUUACUUCAUCAGUCAUCAACAGCAGAAACCAGGCAGUCCAGUUUAUCAGCUCACUUGUGGAUGAACUAAAGGAAAGUGUAUUCCCAGUUCUUCGUAUCUUACUCCAGCACAUCUGUGCCAAGGUGGUAGAUAAAUCAGAGUAUCGGACCUAUGCAGCUCAGUCCCUGGUACAGCUGCUCAGCAAACUUCCUUGUGGGGAAUAUGCUACAUUUAUUGCCUGGCUUUAUAGAUAUUCACGAAGUUCCAAGAUCCCACACAGGGUUUUUACUCUUGAUGUUGCCUUGGCUUUGUUGGAACUGCCAGAAAGAGAGGCAGAUAACACACUCUCCUUGGAGGAUCAGAAGUUCUUAAAGCAUAAGUUCUUGGUGCAGGACAUUAUGUUUGAUCGCUGUUUAGACAAGGCACCGACUGUCCGCAGCAAGGCAUUGUCCAGUUUUGCACAUUGCCUGGAGUUGUCUGUUAGCACCGCAUCGGAGAGCAUUCUGGAAUUUCUGAUUAACAGUCCUACAAUUUUAGGAAUAGAGAGCCACCCUGGUACUUUACUGAAAAAUUCAUCAGCUUUUUCCUGUCAGAAGCAGACACUUAACCGUUCUGGAGACUCAGGGGUGAUCAAUACAGACAGCAGUGGUGAAACAAUUGGAUCUAGGGCAGAAAGAUGUGUCAUGGUCAUGCUGAGAAAGAGAAUCAGGGAUGAGAAGACCAACGUUAGGAAGUCUGCGCUCCAGGUGCUGGUGAGUGUUUUGAAACACUGCAGCAUCUCAGGUAUGAAGGAGGAGCUGUUGAUUCUUCAGGAGCAGUGUCGGGAUCCUGCGGUGUCUGUCCGGAAGCAGGCAUUACAGUCUCUCACUGAACUUCUUAUGGCCCACCCUAGAUGUGUCCAGAUACAGAAAGCCUGGCUGAUGGGGAUCACCCCCGUUGUGAUGGACUCUGAGAGCACUGUGCAGGAAAAGGCCCUGGAAUGCCUUGACCAGCUCCUGCUGCAGAACAUUAAGCAUUUCAAUAAGUUUCACAGUGGAGAUGACAGCCAGGUGCUAGCUUGGGCACUACUUUCUCUCCUUAGUACAGAAAACCAGGAAUUGAGCCGCUAUUUAAAUAAGGCUUUUUAUAUCUGGUCCAAGAAAGAUAAGUUCUCAUCUGCUUUUAUAAACAAUAUACUGUCCCACACGGACGCGGAGCAUUCCGCACCAGCCUGGAUGCUGCUGUCCAAGAUUGCCGGCUCGUCACCCAAGCUCGACUAUGUCAGAGUGAUAGAGUCCUGGGAGGAGAUCAGCAGUCAACAGAGUCCCAAUUCAAACACCUUAGGACAUAUUCUGUGUGUUAUUGGGCAUAUUGCAAAGCAUCUUCCAAAGAGCACCCGUGACAAGGUGACUGAUGUCGUCAAGUGUAAGCUGAGUGGAUUCCAGUGGUCUCUAGAGUUGAUCAGCUCAGCCGUCGAUACUUUGCAAAGACUCUGUAGAGCAUCUGCAGAGACAGCUGUGGAGGAGCAGGAGCUGCUGACGCAGGUGUGCGGGGACGUCCUCUCCGCCUGUGUGCACUGCCUCUCCAACAUCGUUCUGCGGGAAGGCGGCGCCGGGAACAUGGAUGAAGACCUGCUGGUGAAGUAUAUUUUUACCUUAGGAGAUAUAGCGCAGCUCUGCCCAGCCAGAGUGGAGAAGCGAGCCUUCCUUCUGAUUCAGUCCAUUGUAGCUUCUUCUGCUGAUGUGGAUCAUUUAGCAUCCUCUCAAGGUAGCAGCGAAGCCCCAGCCUCUCAGCCGCUCACCCAGGUCAGAGGCUGUGUCAUGCCUUCUGUGAUCCGAGCACACGCCAUCAUUACCUUGGGUAAGCUGUGCUUACAGCACGAGGACCUUGCAAAGAAGAGCAUCCCGGCCCUUGUGAGAGAGCUGGAGGUGUGCGAUGACGUGGCUGUUCGCAACAAUGUUGUCAUUGUUAUGUGUGAUCUUUGUAUCCGGUACACUGUCAUGGUGGAUAAGUACAUCCCCAAUAUCGCCAUGUGUCUGAAGGAUUCAGAUCCAUUCAUCCGAAAGCAAACUCUCAUCUUGCUUACCAACCUCUUGCAGGAAGAGUUUGUGAAAUGGAAGGGCUCUCUGUUCUUCCGGUUUGUCAGCACUCUGAUAGACUCACACCCAGACAUCGCCAGUUUUGGGGAGUUUUGCCUCGCUCACCUGCUUCUGAAGAGGAAUCCUGUCAUGUUCUUCCAGCACUUCAUUGAGUGUAUUUUCCACUUUAAUAACUAUGAGAAGCACGAGAAGUACAACAAGUUCUCCCAGUCGGAGAGAGAGAAGCGUCUUUUUUCACUGAAGGGAAAGACAAACAAGGAGAAACGAAUGAAAAUCUACAAGUUUCUUCUAGAGCACUUCACAGACGAGCAGCGAUUCAAUAUCACGUCCAAAAUCUGCCUGAGUAUUCUGGCGUGCUUCGCAGAUGGCGUCCUGCCCCUGGACAUGGAAGCCAGCGAGCUCCUUUCAGAUACCUUCGAGGUCCUCAGCUCAAAGGAAAUCAAGCUUCUGGCCAUGAGAUCAAAACCAGACAAGGACCUCCUCCUGGAAGAAGAUGACAUGGCCCUGGCAGAUGUCGUCAUGCAGGAAGCUCAGAAGAAGCUCAUCUCACAGGUUCAGAAGAGGAAUUUCAUAGAGAACGUCAUUCCCAUCAUCGUCUCCCUGAAGACUGUGCUGGAAAAGAACAAGGUCCCAGCUCUGCGGGAGCUCAUGCACUACCUCAGGGAGGUAAUGCAGGAUUACCGGGAUGAGAUCAAGGACUUCUUUGCAGUUGACAAGCAGCUGGCAUCAGAACUCGAGUACGACAUGAAGAAGUACAGCGAACAGCUAGCCCAGGAGCAGGAGCUGGCAAGACAAGCUGAAGCGAACAGGGUGACGGAAGGUGCUGACGGGGCCCGGGCCCUGCAGGUUGCUCCAGGUUUAGAAAUAAUGUCAGCUUCUGAUGGCCAAGAAAAUGCCUCUGUACCCCGGGGUGCGAACCAGCCCUCGAGACCCGAGUCAAGCACUGGCCAGGCAGCAUCUCUUCCUCUUUCGGCUGAAGCGGGGCAGUUGAAGAGGCUCAUGCCCAAAGCCAGGUCCAUGUCCCUGAGUACCAUUGCGAUCCUGAAUUCCGUCAAGAAAGCCGUGGAGUCGAAUAGCAGGCGUCGGAAUCGGAGCAUAGGAGUGCUGCCUUUCACCUUAAAUUCUGAGAGCCUGGACAGAGCGCAUAGUCGCACGUCUUCCUACAGCCUGGAGCAGGAGGCCAGUGGAGCUGUUGACCCUGUAGCCAGACGAGCCAUCAGCACCCCUGAGAGUAAGUAGCUGAUGUGGGUGAGCUGGCUCCUCCUCACCCUCCCCUGCCGUCACUGCUGAAGUCCCAGGAAAACUCUUCCUGUUGUCAGAGUUCUCACUGGCUAAGGGCUCUCCUGACACUCAGCGGCACCGUAGUGCAUUGUGUCAGACCAAAUGUUUCGGGAUAAUUAUAACAAGGAUUCAUCAUUUAUGACAACUGGACUGAGCCCCAGCAGAACUUCUAGGGCUCGCCCAGGUGCUCUGCCUGUGAGCUGGUCGCACUGUCCACAGCUCGCCCAGGUGCUCUGCCUGUGAGCUGGUCGCACUGUCCACAGCUCGCCCAGGUGCUCUGCCUGUGAGCUGGUCGCACUGCCCACAGCUCGCCCAGGUGCUCUGCCUGUGAGCUGGUCGCACUGCCCACAGCUCGCCCAGGUGCUCUGCCUGUGAGCUGGUCACACUGCCCACAGCCGGGAGGUGUCCUCGUCCACAGACGGGGAGGCCAAGGUGCAGGUUCCUUGUGUAACUGCUCUGGGCAGCACAGUUCUUACCGUUCCAGACCCAACACCCCGCCCUCCUGCCUAACUCCCCAGGUUGGUCGAGUUGCUCAGCCACGUGCUUUGUAGCUGUGGGAUGUAUGUCGCUGAAUUCCACUCCUGAGCAAACAGACUUGAGAGGCAGCUGCACCUCAAGGAGUCCCUGUCCGCUGUGCGGAGAGCCCGUGUUCCCAUGUCUGCUGGGUGGUUCUGUCAUGUCCUAUUCCUUCCUUUUAAUUCAAAGGGGAAAUGAGUUAGAAGUGCAGCGUAUUUUCCCCAUUGCUUUGUUUUAUAGCUUCUUAUUGUCUCAAACUGUCCCCUAUAAAAACCAUAAUUUUGAGAAAAUAAUUACAGUGCGAAGAAAUUCUCGACAAAAUCUGUAGUGUAGUUUGCACGUGUCUCCGCCUGCCCCCAACCUGGUCUCCCACCUCCUGCACCCCAGCCGUAGGCGGUCCUCUCCGAGUGUCUGCGCGAGCCCUGCUCUGCCCUGACACAGGGCUUGCACGUGACGUGUCCUCAACCCAGAACGUGCCCUUCCUGGUACCACCUCGGCACCCUUCCGACUGGAUUAGGUGCCUCAUUCUCAGCAGCACUCACCACACUUCUCAACAAUUGUCUGUCCUUGCUGUUCCUAAGCUGCUAUUUUCUCCACUGUCCCUGCCCCCCAGUGCCUGGGCCACGAUAGUGUGGACCGAUGUUGGUCUGUGGUUAGCGGAAUGGCAUAGCUGGCCUGAGCUCAGGUUUCUCAUGCAGGUUCCUGUGUUGCUUCUACAGCCUUUUCUUUCGGUACUAAUCUUGGGAAUAUAUUAUGAUGUGGAGCCACGAAAUAUCGAGCCAUUCGGUUAGUCGAGCUACGCACCUACUAUGUCUGGUUAUUGUCUUGGUCCUAUUAUCUGUGAGGCUGUGAUCUCUCAGAAUAUUUGCCAGGUGAUUGAUAAUUUUCACCCAAGUCCACCUUAUAAGGGGGAUAAAUGGAUGAAUACACCUCCCCCCAGAUGACAACUGAGUCAUGACAGCUUUCAUCAUUAAAAGCAGUAAUUUUGAGUUCCUGUGUAUUGAACAGGUGUAAUGUUAUGUAUGUGAAAAGUCAACCUCUUUCACACAAAACAGUUUUCUGUAUGUUCUGUUCCUGGCCCAGGGGCACCAGGUGCUUCUGUUCAGACAGAAAAGAGGAGAUGGCCUCUCAGUUUAUCUCUGCGCAUCCCAUGAGGCACGCUCGGCACCAGUGGUCUCCUGGCUGCGUUUUCCUCAAGUGAGACCUGACUUGCUGCACUAGUGCUGCUGAGGUUUUGUGUGGAGCAGGUGCCCCAGGCUUGCUUUCUCUGGGCUCUUGGCUGUAAACUCCUGGGGGUCUCAUUCUGCAAAGAAGAAAGGCUUGGAGAAGGGUCUCCUGUUAGCUCUCCUUCCUGCGAGAAUUACUCAUUUAAGACAGCUCCAUUGCUCUUUCUCUGUAGUUUAUCCAUACAAAUUCUCUUGACAGUUCUUAAGUGGGGUGACUGUCAGGAGGUGGUCUCCGCUCUACAAACCAACGGGAAAAGUGCUGCCCAGCUCCUGUCCUGGCACCCUGUGUACUCGGGGUUAAUGGUGUGGAUUUGCCAAAUGGAAAUGAGUAAUUUUCAGAGCUGGAUUUUAAAAAUCCUUGAGGGGUUUAACAAGUGCUUCCUGCUGUCACUUGGGCAGCAGAGGUGCUCCUGCCUUUGAUUGUCAGGGUCUGCAAGUGUGUGGGGGACUCGGAGCUACUGCAGCAGUGCUGCUGUGAAGGUCAGAGGCUUCCAGACAGGAACAGGAAUGUGUGUGGUGGGGUGGGGGCUUCGGUGAGGCACAAGCAGAGACCUCCCAGGAAUGGGAAUGGGAAUGGGCAGAACUGAGCUGUUUGAGUGGCAGUGGCUGGAGUAGCUUGGGCACUCAGCACUGCAGACACACAAGACACACAGCACUGCGGGCACAGCACUGUGGACGCGCUGAUGGACUUUAAAACCUAGACUAGAAAGGUCUGGCUGGUACUCCUCAGGGUACAGUGUAAGGGGGAAACCUAAAAACUGUGCAGCCUGCGUCAUGUGUGUGCUUGCAGAAGGGACGGCAGGUUCUGAGAACGGUUGGCAGCCACACAGGCUCCCUUCUGACCAGUGUGACAGCAGCUCAUGCAAAAUGGUACAGACACAAAGUAGGAAGAAAUCACAGGAGUGUCACCACCCAGAUGUCAAAAGAAGGAACAGGAUGGUGUAGCUGGAUCAGGGAGAGCACUUCGGGCAGGAGGGCCUGUGUGGACCCAGGUGUGACACAGCAGGGUUGCUUAGAGAACGGUGACAGUCGGGUGCCAGGGGCCCACAGCUGGUGCCUGUGUGGGUUUUGUGAAGGUGGCUGGGCCAGGUGCAGGGCUGAGGCCAGCUCAGACUGAGGCUGGAUUGUUGGCCCCUAACCACUGAGCCACUAGGAUCCUUCAGCAGGGCAGAGACCUCACCAGAUCUUCAAACCAGUUUACCUCUAAGUGACACAGGGUCUCAUAGCUAAUAAAUGACAGCAGUUGCUCACACAUCUCCAGCACUUACCUUGACCAAGUACUGUGCUGAGGACUCAACUCAACGUCAGUGAUCUCACUUAAUCCUGAUAUUUGUAUCCCAUUUUAGAGGUAAAGACACUUGGGGUUCCCAGAGCCGUUCCCACAACUAGGAAGACAGAGCCAGAAUUCACACUGAGCCUGACUGUCUGUGUCCCCUACCCCCCCUCCGCCUCCUGAGGGUGAAUGGAGGGGAGGCCGGAAGGGAGAGCAAGGGCAAGGCGAGAGCGGGAGGGGACGUACGCAGGCAGGAGCGGGUCA